rnacentral:rRNA from 1 species
UACGGAAGGCAGCAGUGGGGAAUAUUGCACAAUGGGCGCAAGCCUGAUGCAGCCAUGCCGCGUGUAUGAAAAAGGCCUUCGGGUUGUAAAGUACUUUCAGUCGUGAGGAAGGUGUUAAGGUUAAUAACCUUAGCAAUUGACGUUAGCGACAGAAGAAGCACCGGCUAACUCCGUGCCAGCAGCCGCGGUAAUACGGAGGGUGCGAGCGUUAAUCGGAAUUACUGGGCGUAAAGGGCACGCAGGCGGUUAAUUAAGUUGGAUGUGAAAUCCCCGGGCUUAACCUGGGAAUGGCAUUCAAGACUGGUUAGCUAGAGUCUUGUAGAGGGGGUAGAAUUCCAUGUGUAGCGGUGAAAUGCGUAGAGAUGUGGAGGAAUACCGGUGGCGAAGGCGGCCCCUGGACAAAGACUGACGCUCAUGUGCGAAAGCGUGGGGAGCAAACAGGGAUUUAGAUACCCGU